rnacentral:rRNA from 1 species
UUUUUCAAAUCAGUGAAAUUAAUCUCCCCGUGAAGAAGCGGGGAUACUCAUAUAAGACGAGAAGACCCCAUGGAGCUUCAAACCCAACUACACCCCUAGCUCUUAUAGCCCCACAACCCCCCUAGGCACCGUGUGCUUGGUUUUAGGUUGGGGCGACCGCGGAGUACAAUAAAACCUCCACAAUGAAUGGGAACACCCCCUUAUCUGAGGGCCACACCCCCUAAGAAUUAGAACACUAACAUAAAAUGAUCCAUUACUUGAUCAAUGAACCAAGUUACCCUGGGGAUAACAGCGCAAUCCAUUUCAAGAGCCCCUAUCGACAAAUGGGUUUACGACCUCGAUGUUGGAUCAGGGUACCCCAGUGGUGCAGCAGCUACUAACGGUUCGUUUGUUCAACGAUUAAAACCCU